rnacentral:piRNA from 1 species
UAUCUAGCCGCCUUUCCGCCACAGGAGA